AGAGUUUGAUCCUGGCUCAGAACAAACGCUGGCGGCGUGUCUUAAGCAUGCAAGUCGAGCGGCAAGGGCAGCAAUGCCCCUAGAGCGGCGGACUGGUGAGUAACGCGUGGGUGAUCUACCUUGGGCAUGGGGAUAGCCAUUAGAAAUAGUGGGUAAUACCGAAUACGUUCGUUACCGUGAGGGUAACGAGGAAAGGCGCUACGGCGCCGGCCUGGAGAUGAGCUUGCGUCUGAUUAGCUAGUUGGUGAGGUAAUGGCUCACCAAGGCGAUGAUCGGUAGCCGGCCUGAGAGGGUGUACGGCCACACUGGGACUGAGAUACGGCCCAGACUCCUACGGGAGGCAGCAGCUAAGAAUAUUCCGCAAUGGACGAAAGUCUGACGGAGCGACGCCGCGUGGAUGAUGAAGGCCGAAAGGUUGUAAAGUCCUUUUGCUGGGGAAGAAUAAGCGUGGGAGGGAAUGCCCGCGUGAUGACAUGAACCGGCGAAUAAGCCCCGGCUAACUACGUGCCAGCCGCCGCGGU
rnacentral:rRNA from 1 species